rnacentral:rRNA from 1 species
CAAAGGUGAGCCAGUACAGGAUGGACCCGCGUCUGAUUAGCUAGUUGGUAAGGUAACGGCUUACCAAGGCGACGAUCAGUAGCCGACCUGAGAGGGUGAUCGGCCACAUUGGAACUGAGACACGGUCCAAACUCCUACGGGAGGCAGCAGUGGGGAAUAUUGCACAAUGGGCGAAAGCCUGAUGCAGCAACGCCGCGUGAGUGAUGAAGGCCUUCGGGUCGUAAAACUCUGUCCUCAAGGAAGAUAAUGACGGUACUUGAGGAGGAAGCCCCGGCUAACUACGUGCCAGCAGCCGCGGUAAUACGUAGGGGGCUAGCGUUAUCCGGAUUUACUGGGCGUAAAGGGUGCGUAGGCGGUCUUUCAAGUCAGGAGUGAAAGGCUACGGCUCAACCGUAGUAAGCUCUUGAAACUGGGAGACUUGAGUGCAGGAGAGGAGAGUGGAAUUCCUAGUGUAGCGGUGAAAUGCGUAGAUAUUAGGAGGAACACCAGUUGCGAAGGCGGCUCUCUGGACUGUAACUGACGCUGAGGCACGAAAGCGUGGGGAGCAAACAGGAUUAGAUACCCUGGUAGUCCACGCUGUAAACGAUGAGUACUAGGUGUCGGGG